UGCCACUAGUUCACCCUGAAUACAAGUGAUCUCAUCUGAUUCUAGAAGCUAAGCAGGGUUAUGCAUCUGUAUGCUUCUGUAUACACCCAGAAGCAUACAAUAGAGUGACAU
ensembl:rRNA 5S_rRNA 5S ribosomal RNA